rnacentral:SRP_RNA from 1 species
ACUGGGUGCGGUGGCUGUGCCUGUAGUCCCAGCUACUCGGGAGGCUGAGGUGGGAAGAUUGCUUGAGCCCAGGAGUUCUGGGCUGUAGUGCACUAUGCCGAUCGGGUGUCCGCACUAAGUUAGGCAUCAAUAUGGUGACCUCUCCGAAGCGGGGGACCACCAGGUUGCCUAAGGAGAGGUGAACCAGCCCAGGUCAGAAAUGGAGCAGGUCAAAACCACCAGGCUGAUCAGUAGUGGGAUCAUGCCUAUGAAUAGCCACUGCACUCCAGCAUGGGCAACAUAGCAAGACCCCAUCUCU